rnacentral:ncRNA from 1 species
UGACCCGGCAGGUCCCGACACCAAAACCAAAAGAACCGGGAAAAGAACCAACCCACCCCCACCGCCCCCGCAGCUCACCCGCAGGGGUGAACAUCGCCAACUCGGCUGGCGUGGAGGGGAGUCGAUAGUGCAGCGUCAGCGCAGACAACCGCACAAACGAAUACGGCCCCCGCCGGGACUGGCAUCCCACUGCGAGGGCCUGAUCACCUAGGAAGAAGCACCUUCCCG